rnacentral:rRNA from 1 species
CACGUAGGGGGCAAGCGUUGUCCGGAUUUAUUGGGCGUAAAGAGCUCGUAGGCGGCUUAGUAAGUCGGGUGUGAAACCUCCAGGCUCAACCUGGAGACGCCACCCGAUACUGCUGUGGCUAGAGUCCGGUAGGGGAGCGUGGAAUUCCUGGUGUAGCGGUGAAAUGCGCAGAUAUCAGGAAGAACACCAGCGGCGAAGGCGGCACUCUGGGCCGGAACUGACGCUGAGGAGCGAAAGCGUGGGUAGCAAACAGG